rnacentral:rRNA from 1 species
GAUUAGUGGCGAACGUUAGAGUAACACGUGGGCAAUCUGCCCUGUACUUCGGGAUAAGCCUUGGAAACGGGGUCUAAUACCGGAUGGGACUGCCGGCCGCAUGGUCUGGUGGUGGAAAGCUCCGGCGGUACAGGAUGAGCUCGCGGCCUAUCAGCUUGUUGGUGGGGUGAUGGCCUACCAAGGCGACGACGGGUAGCCGGCCUGAGAGGGCGACCGGCCACACUGGGACUGAGACACGGCCCAGACUCCUACGGGAGGCAGCAGUGGGGAAUAUUGCACAAUGGGCGCAAGCCUGAUGCAGCGACGCCGCGUGAGGGAUGACGGCCUUCGGGUUGUAAACCUCUUUCAGCAGGGAAGAAGCCUUAAAAAGUGACGGUACCUGCAGAAGAAGCACCGGCUAACUACGUGCCAGCAGCCGCGGUAAUACGUAGGGUGCAAGCGUUGUCCGGAAUUAUUGGGCGUAAAGAGCUCGUAGGCGGCGUGUCGCGUCGGAUGUGAAAGCCCGGGGCUUAACCCCGGGUUGGCAUUCGAUACGGGCAGGCUAGAGUUCGGUAGGGGAGAUUGGAAUUCCUGGUGUAGCGGUGAAAUGCGCAGAUAUCAGGAGGAACACCGGUGGCGAAGGCGGAUCUCUGGGCCGAUACUGACGCUGAGGAGCGAAAGCGU